GAUGAACGCUGGCGGCGUGCCUAAUACAUGCAAGUCGAGCGAACAGACGAGGAGCUUGCUCCUCUGACGUUAGCGGCGGACGGGUGAGUAACACGUGGAUAACCUACCUAUAAGACUGGGAUAAUUUCGGGAAACCGGAGCUAAUACCGGAUAAUAUAUUGAACCGCAUGGUUCAAUAGUGAAAGACGGUUUUGCUGUCACUUUUAGAUGGAUCCGCGCCGCAUUAGCUAGUUGGUAAGGUAACGGCUUACCAAGGCAACGAUGCGUAGCCGACCUGAGAGGGUGAUCGGCCACACUGGAACUGAGACACGGUCCAGACUCCUACGGGAGGCAGCAGUAGGGAAUCUUCCGCAAUGGGCGAAAGCCUGACGGAGCAACGCCGCGUGAGUGAUGAAGGUCUUCGGAUCGUAAAACUCUGUUAUUAGGGAAGAACAAAUGUGUAAGUAACUAUGCACGUCUUGACGGUACCUAAUCAGAAAGCCACGGCUAACUACGUG
rnacentral:rRNA from 1 species